rnacentral:rRNA from 1 species
UACAGAGGGGGCAAGCGUUGUUCGGAAUUACUGGGCGUAAAGGGCGCGUAGGCGGCCUUCUAAGUCGAACGUGAAAUCCCCGGGCUCAACCCGGGAACUGCGUCCGAGACUGGAAGGCUCGAAUCCGGGAGAGGGAUGUGGAAUUCCAGGUGUAGCGGUGAAAUGCGUAGAUAUCUGGAGGAACAUCGGUGGCGAAGGCGGCAUCCUGGACCGGUAUUGACGCUGAGACGCGAAAGCGUGGGGAGCAAACAGG